rnacentral:rRNA from 1 species
GACGAACCGAGCGAACGUUGUUCGGAAUCACUGGGCUUAAAGGGCGCGUAGGCGGGCUGUCAAGUUUGGGGUGAAAUCCCGCGGCUCAACCGUGGAACUGCCUCAGAUACUGACGGUCUCGAGGGAGGUAGGGGCGAGCGGAACUGAUGGUGGAGCGGUGAAAUGCGUUGAUAUCAUCGGGAACUCCGGUGGCGAAGGCGGCUCGCUGGACCUUUUCUGACGCUGAGGCGCGAAAGCUAGGGGAGCAAACGGG